rnacentral:pre_miRNA from 1 species
AGUUCGAUUGCUGGAUCAUGUGUUAAGAGUACAUUUAGUUUUGUAAGAAACUGCCAAAGAGUCUUCUAAAGUGGCUGUACCAUUUUUUUUACACUAGCAAU